UACGUAGGGUGCAAGCGUUAAUCGGAAUUAUUGGGCGUAAAGAGCUUGUAGGUGGCUCGUCGCGUCGGGAGUGAAAACCCGCGGCUUAACCGCGGGCCUGCUUUCGAUACGGGCGGGCUAGAGUUCGGCAGGGGAGACUGGAAUUCCUGGUGUAGCGGUGGAAUGCGCAGAUAUCAGGAGGAACACCGGUGGCGAAGGCGGGUCUCUGGGCCGAUACUGACACUGAGAAGCGAAAGCGUGGGGAGCGAACAGG
rnacentral:rRNA from 1 species